AAAGAAAGCUGGCGGCAUGCCUAACACAUGCAAGUCGAACGAGACCUUCGGGUCUAGUGGCGCACGGGUGCGUAACGCGUGGGAACCUGCCCUUAGGUUCGGAAUAACUCCCCGAAAGGGGUGCUAAUACCGGAUAAUGUCUUCGGACCAAAGAUUUAUCGCCUUUGGAUGGGCCCGCGUUGGAUUAGCUAGUUGGUAGGGUAAAAGCCUACCAAGGCGACGAUCCAUAGCUGGUCUGAGAGGAUGAUCAGCCACACUGGGACUGAGACACGGCCCAGACUCCUACGGGAGGCAGCAGUGGGGAAUAUUGGACAAUGGGCGAAAGCCUGAUCCAGCAAUGCCGCGUGAGUGAUGAAGGCCUUAGGGUUGUAACGCUCUUUUACCCGGGAUGAUAAUGACAGUACCGGGAGAAUAAGCUCCGGCUAACUCCGUG
rnacentral:rRNA from 1 species